rnacentral:rRNA from 1 species
UGGGGAAUAUUGGACAAUGGGCGCAAGCCUGAUCCAGCCAUGCCGCGUGCGGGAAGAAGGCCUUCGGGUUGUAAACCGCUUUUGUCAGGGAAGAAACGGUCUGUCUUAAUACUGCGGACUAAUGACGGUACCUGAAGAAUAAGCACCGGCUAACUACGUGCCAGCAGCCGCGGUAAUACGUAGGGUGCAAGCGUUAAUCGGAAUUACUGGGCGUAAAGCGUGCGCAGGCGGCUUUGCAAGACAGAUGUGAAAUCCCCGGGCUCAACCUGGGAACUGCAUUUGUGACUGCAAGGCUGGAGUGCGGCAGAGGGGGAUGGAAUUCCGCGUGUAGCAGUGAAAUGCGUAGAUAUGCGGAGGAACACCGAUGGCGAAGGCAAUCCCCUGGGCCUGCACUGACGCUCAUGCACGAAAGCGUGGGGAGCAAACAGGAUUAGAUACCCCCGUAGUCCCUGAGCGGGCUGGCAAGGCGCAU